rnacentral:rRNA from 1 species
UGGCUCAGGACGAACGCUGGCGGCGUGCCUAACACAUGCAAGUCGAGCGAGGAGAUCCUCGGGAUGAUCCUAGCGGCGGACGGGUGAGUAACACGUGGGCAACCUGCCUCAUAGAGAGGAAUAGCCUUCCGAAAGGGAGAUUAAUACCUCAUAACAUUGCAGUUUCGCAUGGAACAGCAAUUAAAGGAGCAAUCCGCUAUGAGAUGGGGCCCCGCGGCGCAUUAGCUAGUUGGUGAGGUAACGGCUCACCAAGGCGACGAUGCGUAGCCGACCUGAGAGGGUGAUCGGCCACAUUGGGACUGAGACACGGCCCAGACUCCUACGGGAGGCAGCAGUGGGGAAUAUUGCACAAUGGGGGAAACCCUGAUGCAAGCAACGCCGCGUGAGUGAUGACGGCCUUCGGGUUGUAAAGCUCUGUCUUCAGGGACGAUAAUGACGGUACCUGAGGAGGAAGCCACGGCUAACUACGUGCCAGCAGCGGC